GUGCCUCCUGCCAAAAAGCCAGAAGCUCCACCUCCUAAAGUGCCAGAGGCUCCGAAAGAAGUUGUUCCUGAAAAGAAAGUGCCAGCGGCUCCUCCUAAAAAGCCUGAAGUCACACCUGUUAAAGUGCCUGAGGCUCCCAAAGAAGUUGUUCCUGAAAAGAAAGUGCCAGUGCCUCCUCCUAAAAAGCCUGAAGUGCCACCCACAAAAGUCCCAGAGGUGCCAAAGGUAGCUGUCCCAGAAAAGAAGGUGCCUGAAGCUAUUCCUCCCAAACCGGAAAGUCCUCCCCCUGAAGUGUUCGAGGAGCCUGAGGAAGUUGCCCUAGAAGAGCCUCCUGCUGAAGUUGUGGAAGAGCCAGAGCCAGCGGCGCCUCCACAAGUGACCGUACCACCUAAGAAACCUGUCCCAGAAAAGAAAGCACCUGCUGUCGUUGCCAAAAAACCUGAACUACCACCAGUGAAAGUGCCCGAGGUGCCCAAGGAGGUUGUUCCUGAAAAGAAGGUGCCUCUGGUGGUUCCCAAAAAGCCAGAAGCCCCACCUGCUAAAG
rnacentral:lncRNA from 1 species